UACAGAGGGUGCAAGCGUUAAUCGGAAUUACUGGGCGUAAAGCGUGCGUAGACGGUUAUGUAAGUCGGGUGUGAAAUCCCCAGGCUUAACCUGGGAACUGCAUCCGAUACUGGAUGGCUUGAAUCCGGGAGAGGGAUGCAGAAUUCCAGGUGUAGCGGUGAAAUGCGUAGAUAUCUGGAGGAAUACCGGUGGCGAAGGCGGCAUCCUGGACCGGCAUUGACGCUGAUGAGCGAAAGCUAGGGGAGCAAACGGG
rnacentral:rRNA from 1 species